AACGAACGCUGGCGGCAUGCCUAACACAUGCAAGUCGAACGAGACCUUCGGGUCUAGUGGCGCACGUGUGCGUAACGCGUGGGAACCUGCCCUUAGGUUCGGAAUAACUCCCCGAAAGGGGUUCUAAUACCGGAUAAUGUCUUCGGACCAAAGAUUUAUCGCCUUUGGAUGGGCCCGCGUUGGAUUAGCUAGUUGGUAGGGUAAAAGCCUACCAAGGCGACGAUCCAUAGCUGGUCUGAGAGGAUGAUCAGCCACACUGGGACUGAGACACGGCCCAGACUCCUACGGGAGGCAGCAGUGGGGAAUAUUGGAGAAUGGGCGAAAGCCUGAUCAAGCAAUGCCGCGUGAGUGAUGCAGGCCUUAGGGUUGUAAAGCUCUUUUACCCGGGAUGAUAAUGACAGUACCGGGAGAAUAAGCUCCGGCUAACUCCGUG
rnacentral:rRNA from 1 species